UAAAGUUUUAAAUAGGUUGAGAUUGAUAUAAUCUUUCAUAUUGUGCAAAGCCUUGGUGCUGCCAGGAGCAUUGUC
rnacentral:tRNA from 1 species